AUCCCUGUAGCGCAAUGGCCCAUUGGACUUUUAAUCCAAAAGUCGUGGAUUCGAAUCCCACCUGGGAUA